UAUACAAUGUUGAUAUGUUGAUUUUUCAAGUUGAAGGCCUACCAAGUUUCACGGACUUUAAUGUUCGAGUAUCAGCCCGAACUGAUAGUGGGCAAGGGCCCCAUUCUGACCUAGUGUAUGUCAAGACCUCAGAGAAUGUACCUGGUGCCCCAUCAA